GCGCGCCUCCAAGCCACGUGACCCGCCCGCCUCAGGAGCGGCUCAGCGCUCGCUCUGCGGGUCUGGUUGACGUGGAGGGCCGGAGGCGUCGGCAGCCCGCGUCCGAGGCUCGCGGGCUGCGGGCCCGGAAAUGCACUUAGUGAUGGAAAGAGGGCCAUUGUUUUGAAGAACACCUGGCCGAAGGUCGGACAUCAAAUAGGAAUCCAAUUAAAGCUUUUUAUGAAAGCAGGGCUUACAUACCUAGAAACUCAUCAGCACCUGCUUUUAGAACAUCACUUAACUUUGUGGAAACAGAAAGAGGUUUCAGGAAAACUAAGUACAGAAUGGCAAAUGGCGGUGGCCAUCAGAAUCAAAAGGUGGCAGAUGAGGCUUUGAAGGGGGACGAUUGUGACUGUCAUCCUGAAUUUCUGCCACCUCCAAGUGAG
rnacentral:lncRNA from 1 species